GCCCAGAUCCCUACGGGAGGCAGCAGUAGGGAUCUUCGGCAAUGGGGGCAACCCUGACCGAGCAACGCCGCGUGAGUGAAGAAGGUUUUCGGAUCGUAAAACUCUGUUGUUAGAGAAGAACGUUAAGUAGAGUGGAAAAUUACUUAAGUGACGGUAUCUAACCAGAAAGGGACGGCUAACUACGUGCCAGCAGCCGCGGUAAUACGUAGGUCCCAAGCGUUGUCCGGAUUUAUUGGGCGUAAAGCGAGCGCAGGUGGUUUCUUAAGUCUGAUGUAAAAGGCAGUGGCUCAACCAUUGUGUGCAUUGGAAACUGGGAGACUUGAGUGCAGGAGAGGAGAGUGGAAUUCCAUGUGUAGCGGUGAAAUGCGUAGAUAUAUGGAGGAACACCGGAGGCGAAAGCGGCUCUCUGGCCUGUAACUGACACUGAGGCUCGAAAGCGUGGGGAGCAAACAGGAUUAGAUACCCUGGUAGUCCACGCCGUAAACGAUGAGUGCUAGCUGUAGGGAGCUAUAAGUUCUCUGUAGCGCAGCUAACGCAUUAAGCACUCCGCCUGGGGAGUACGACCGCAAGGUUGAAACUCAAAGGAAUUGACGGGGGCCCGCACAAGCGGUGGAGCAUGUGGUUUAAUUCGAAGCAACGCGAAGAACCUUACCAGGUCUUGACAUACUCGUGCUAUCCUUAGAGAUAAGGAGUUCCUUCGGGACACGGGAUACAGGUGGUGCAUGGUUGUCGUCAGCUCGUGUCGUGAGAUGUUGGGUUAAGUCCCGCAACGAGCGCAACCCUUAUUACUAGUUGCCAUCAUUAAGUUGGGCACUCUAGUGAGACUGCCGGUGAUAAACCGGAGGAAGGUGGGGAUGACGUCAAAUCAUCAUGCCCCUUAUGACCUGGGCUACACACGUGCUACAAUGGAUGGUACAACGAGUCGCCAACCCGCGAGGGUGCGCUAAUCUCUUAAAACCAUUCUCAGUUCGGAUUGCAGGCUGCAACUCGCCUGCAUGAAGUCGGAAUCGCUAGUAAUCGCGGAUCAGCACGCCGCGGUGAAUACGUUCCCGGGCCUUGUACACACCGCCCGUCACACCACGGAAGUUGGGAGUACCCAAAGUAGGUUGCCUAACCGCAAGGAGGGCGCUCCCUAAGUAG
rnacentral:rRNA from 1 species